UCCCUGGUCAAUGCUGCAUUCAACAAUUGGGGUUAAUGAUUAAGCAAAGUUAAGAGAAUUAAGCAUGGCUUUCUGCUUCCUAUUUUUUCCCCACCAUGCGCAGAGGUUAUCUAGGGCAACCGGUGAUAAGAGGCCAAACUCCGUCCACUCCCCGCAGACCUCCUCAUCUGCGAAACGCCACGUCAUCAGGCCACCCACCAAAACAACUUACGGCAGGCAGGAAGUAGAGGAGCGGUGAGCAGACGGCUGUGUUUCUCUUUUAGGGGCAGCGUCCUACCCACUACCAGUGCCUGGCCCGAGAGCGUAACCCCUGCACUGGCACGUCAGCCGGCGUGGCAGGGGUGGGGCGGCUCGGCACAGGUGUGUGUACCUGCCCUGCAUGGACAGAUAGCGAGAGACAGGGAGGGAACUUGGAGCUGACGCCCCCUCCUCCCUUGGGCAGACCUCGGGGAAGAACACGAAUGGGUCCCUGCCUCAAAUCUUGUUACGGACAAGGAUGAAGGGGAUGAAGAAGAUAAAAGUAAGAACUAGACUUUUCUAAACACUAUUCAGCCCUCCAGGAGCUUAGAAUCUCGACAGGAGUCGCACUUAUUCAACAGAAGUGGUAACUGGUGCAAAUGAGCCUUACACAAGAGGAAGGUCACACGGGGUUCAAGACAGCGCAGACAUUGACGUGGGAGGGGGUCAGGGAAGCGAGGUGGCGCCCUGAAGGGGCAGCAGAGCGUGGGGGCCGCUAAGAAGGCAGAGGGAAGCCGCUCAAUGACGCUGUUGUCACAGACCUCAUCUCUCCUACUCGACUGUAAACCCCGUGAAGCUAGAAACCAAAUGAGCGCGCUGUGGCCUCUCCUAUCGCAGCACGUGGGGUGAUUUGUUCACUAAGUAUUUGCCAACUAGAAUGUCCUAAGUGACAUGGAUAGAAAAAGUAUUUUUUCAGGUUUCACUGCAACGUGAAAGGCCCUUGAACUGCAGGAAGAAUAGAAUGUUAAUUCUGUUCCAUCCAACUAGGUAUGCUGCAAAAUUAGAGGCAAAUACUUCACCCCGUGGAGUCCAUAUGUAUAUGAUAUUACGGUGAUGCUGGUGAAUGUUCCACGUAGCUCUUGGCUGUCAUUUCACAGAAAGAAAAACAAAUAGAAAGAUCUCAGGACACAGAAGCAGUGCUGCAACACAGGGAUGCACGCCUUCCCGGUUCGCAGAGUGCUUGCCGCUGAUAACCUGACACCAUCCUAACAGACAUGUAAGCAAGACUCCUGGUGACCGGGAAGGGCAGUAUGGGAACACGACUGGAGUAAUCAAGCUGGCCUACAGCGCAGAAAUCUCCGGCGGAUUUUAUAUUCCAAAGGAAUCUUGAGGAUAAAACCGAAGAAAGUAUUUUUCUUUCUCUUAGGAAAGAGAGGGCAGAUCUUUCCUUAAUUUUUUAGUAUUGAUGCCUUAGGAACUAUUUCAUGUUAAAAAAAUGCUACCCCAUUUCAAAGAAUUGAAUAUUUACAAAUAUCUAAUAUUUACCUUUUCAAUUUUUAAUAAAGUGUUUAACCACCUGAUUGUAAAUGGCCAUCUAUUGAAGUUCUACUUUUGAUCCUACAAUUGGGGGUGAAAAUUCCCAUGGACAAGUCUCUUCGGGACAAGGGUAUAUGUAUUAUUACAGAGAUAUGAAAUCUUUCUCAAUAUUUGCCUCCUGCAUUAAUUCAACAAAUUUUUAUUACUAAAAACCUACUAUGUACAAGGUAUUUCCUUAAUUUCCCAGUCACUUAAAGAAGCACAGGUCUUUGUCUCUAGCCUUGGAGAGAAUUUUCAUGCAAUCCCUAAAACCACACCAAGGAAGACCAGGGAGAAGGCAGAGGCUGCUAGACAAAAGGACAAAGACCUCAAGAGUGAAGGGGGCAUGUUGAAUUUAGAUCUGAAGGGAGUCAGUCCAAAUCUGUCACUCUAGUUACGAAGAAAUGGAAGCAGAGAGAAGCUAAAGGAUUUAUCUAGAAUGCACUAAAUAGAGUGAGGAUGCACUAGCAGCAGAAGUUUUGGGGGGGUUUGCAAUGGCCCUGGAAACUGUAGUUGGAGAAGAACACUGACAUGCGCAAAAGAGGACUGGACAUGGAUUCAUCAGCAAACAGCCCGGCCUCUGUCUCUUCACUCUCGGAGCCCAACGGGUCCCUUCGGCGCUUCCCCAGGCUGGACGUGGAGACCUCCCUCGCAUAAGCCUUGGCACGUGUGGAUGCCAUGAGAUCUGCUGUGGCUUUUGCUCAUUUGGGGCACUUUGUCUCUAACUGACUGAAAUUGAUGAUUCCUCCUUGUUUAUAUCUAACACUCUCGCCUUCAUCAAAUGGCUAUCAGCAAACGCAGUUUUAAUCAGGACAUUCUCCAACUCACCAAACACACGCACACACAACUCUAAAGAUUUAUAUUGUCAACAAUAAAUUUCAACUUUCUUUGCUAGCCAUUCAAGAGCUCUGCAAUUUAGUCUCAAAUCCCAUGUCUGCCUUAUCAAAUUGACAUACCUAUGUGACUUUUAUUCUGUUCAGGACUAAAAAAGUGACCCCCUGCUGGUUCUAUUAGGCUGCUUUCUAUCUUUUCUUUUGUUCCAGACAUUUUGCCUACCUGCAUCACCUUUUCUCUUCUUACCAAUUUCUGUCAACAUUUUACCACUCUUGCAACCACAACGUGAGCACCAGCCUUCUUUACAGAACUUCUGUGAAUCCCUGUCCCCUUCUGAGCCGUUACCUGUGGUGCGUGUGACUAUGUUGCUUUAAAGCCACUGGCCACACUCUUUGGCGUAUUGGAAUUAUUUAGGGGCUCAUGCGGGAAACCUCCAAACUAUGAAUCAGGUCUAAUCACAAAAACUUACAUGCAGGAUAGGAUGUAGCUCCCCAAACAAAACUUUUUUGAAAGACUGAUUGAUUAAAUGAAUUAAAAUACUUGCCACUCUAUGUUCCCUUUCUCAGUUCUUUGUACACAGGUUAAAUAAAACUUCCACUGAGAUGUGAUCAUAGAGGGCUAAUAUAAGGCAUAUGG